GACGAACGCUGGCGGCGUGCCUAAUACAUGCAAGUCGAACGCUGAAGGAGGAACUUUCUCUUCUGGAUGAGUUGCGAACGGGUGAGUAACGCGUAGGUAACCUGCCUGGUAGCGGGGGAUAACUAUUGGAAACGAUAGCUAAUACCGCAUAACAGUAGAUGUUGCAUGACAUUCACUUAAAAGAUGCAAUUGCAUCACUACCAGAUGGACCUGCGUUGUAUUAGCUAGUUGGUGGGGUAACGGCUCACCAAGGCGACGAUACAUAGCCGACCUGGGAAGGGGGUCGGCCACACUGGGACCGGGAAACGGCCCAGGCUUCUACGGGAAGCAGCAGGAGGGGAUCUUCGGCAAUUGACGGAAGGCUGAACGGGCAAAGCCGCGUGAGGGAAGAAGGGUUUCGGAUCGGAAAGCCCCGGUGUAAGGGAAGAACGAGAGUGAGAGUGGAAAGUUCACACUGUGACGGUAUCUUACCAGAAAGGGACGGCUAACUACGUG
rnacentral:rRNA from 1 species